rnacentral:rRNA from 1 species
GAGCGGUAACAGGCGUAGCAAUACGUGCUGACGAGCGGCGAACGGGUGAGUAACGCUUCGGAAUCUGCCCAAUGGUGGGGAAUAACCAGCCGAAAGGUUGGCUAAUACCGCAUGAGCCCUACGGGGGAAAGCGGGGGAUCGUAAGACCUCGCGCCGAUGGAUGAGCCGAAGCCGGAUUAGCUAGUUGGUAGGGUAACGGCCUACCAAGGCGACGAUCCGUAGCUGGUCUGAGAGGACGACCAGCCACACUGGGACUGAGACACGGCCCAGACUCCUACGGGAGGCAGCAGUGGGGAAUAUUGGACAAUGGGGGAAACCCUGAUCCAGCGACGCCGCGUGUGUGAAGAAGGCCUGCGGGUUGUAAAGCACUUUUAGUGGGGAUGAAAAGCUCAGGGCUAACACCUCUGGGUCUUGACCUAACCCACAGAAAAAGCACCGGCUAACUCUGUG